GCGAGGAAUAUUGCGCAAUGGAGGCAACUCUGACGCAGCCAUGCCGCGUGCAGGAAGAAGGCGCUACGCGUUGUAAACUGCUUUUAACCGGGAAGAAACCCCAGGACGUGUCCUGGGUUGACGGUACCGGAGGAAUAAGCACCGGCUAACUUCGUGCCAGCAGCCGCGGUAAUACGAAGGGUGCACGCGUUAUCCGGAUGCAUUGGGUUUAAAGGGUGCGUAGGCGGAGCGUUCAGUCAGUGGUGAAAACGUGCAGCUUAACUGUAGACUUGCCAUUGAUACUGGCGCUCUUGAGUGCGCUUGAAGUGGGCAGACUGUGCCGUGUAGCGGUGAAAUGCUUAGAUAUGGCACAGAACAGCAAUUGCGAAGGCAGCUCACUAAGGCGAUACUGACGCGGAGGCACGAAAGCGUGGGGAUCGAACAGGAUUAGAUACCCGUGUAGUCC
rnacentral:rRNA from 1 species